UACGGAGGAUGCGAGCGUUAUCCGGAUUUAUUGGGUUUAAAGGGUGCGUAGGCGGACGCUUAAGUCAGCGGUAAAAUUGCGGGGCUCAACCUCGUCGAGCCGUUGAAACUGGGUGUCUUGAGUGGGCGAGAAGUACGCGGAAUGCGUAGUGUAGCGGUGAAAUGCAUAGAUAUCACGCAGAACUCCGAUUGCGAAGGCAGCGUACCGGCGCCCAACUGACGCUGAAGCACGAAGGCGUGGGUAUCGAACAGG
rnacentral:rRNA from 1 species